rnacentral:rRNA from 1 species
CCUACGGGUGGCAGCAGUGGGGAAUAUUGGACAAUGGGCGAAAGCCUGAUCCAGCCAUGCCGCGUGUGUGAAGAAGGCCUUCGGGUUGUAAAGCACUUUCAGUGGGGAAGAAAGCCUUGGGGCUAAUACCCUCGAGGAAGGACAUCACCCACAGAAGAAGCACCGGCUAACUCCGUGCCAGCAGCCGCGGUAAUACGGAGGGUGCGAGCGUUAAUCGGAAUUACUGGGCGUAAAGCGCGCGUAGGCGGUCUGAUAAGCCGGUUGUGAAAGCCCCGGGCUCAACCUGGGAACGGCAUCCGGAACUGUCAGGCUAGAGUGCAGGAGAGGAAGGUAGAAUUCCCGGUGUAGCGGUGAAAUGCGUAGAGAUCGGGAGGAAUACCAGUGGCGAAGGCGGCCUUCUGGACUGACACUGACGCUGAGGUGCGAAAGCGUGGGUAGCAAACAGUAUUAGAUACCCUGGUAGC